ACAGGCCUUUUUUUGUGUCACAAAAAGCUUUAAUUGCUAAUUUGUCCUUAUUGAUUGCAAGUUAAAAAGAUUUCCUUGCGAGUCAGAAUGUUUUGCAGGUUCAACCGUUUUGCAAGUGAGAGAGUUUUGCAAGUUGAAAAGUUUUGCGAGUAAAAAAAAGGUCUAAAUAAGAGAAUCUAGUGGUGGUUUGACUGACCAAACCUUUGGUUUGCAUCGAUCGCAUGGCCACGCCUACAAUCCCCUUGCUCCGACAGCUCCGACUUUCUUUUUAAAUGUAGUAUGGCAUGAUUUAAUGAUUAUUUAUAUUUACUGUUGGCAAGGUCACGGAGUCUAUCGCUGUCUCCUUUUUUAGAAUGACAUGUAUAACCGUUCGCUAACGUUAGCCGUCUUGGCAUGAAGCUUGACUGGCAGUGCAUUUGUGCACUCAGACAUGACGAGUUGCAGUGAGGAUCAUUGGUGACAGCUAUGUCCAGCAUGGUGGCCAGAGAGCAUAGGAAACAUCUUCACCCUGCUGGACGUCUCUUGGUCUGGCUGGCUUCCCCCCUCCCUGUGAAGAAGUGCAGCACUGGAUGUCCUUAUCAUCAUCUGUGGCGGCAACAGCAUGUAAGGACAUGUGACGGCCCGUGCUUAGUCUACUUCUACCUGAUAUGGAGCGCCUGGGCCCAGUGCGCUACAGGAUAUAAAAGUCCAACCUUCCAUUGUGGCUGGCUCUCUUCCAGAUAGCACCUUCACCUUACUGCUUUGCUGAACCAUUGUUUUUAUUUUUACUCCAAACCUAAUCCCACAGUAUAUGAACACUACUUAUUUACCACUGUUACUAUCCAGGUUCCAUUAUCAUAAUUACUGUUACAACUUUUACACAUUUUCAUUUAUUUGUCUUAACUGUACAUUAUUUCAAGUCAUACACAACAACAAUUUUAUCCUUUUUACUGCUGUCUUCAUGAAUGCAGGAUAUGAUUUUAAUUUGUUUAACUGUUUCUUGUGUAGUGUAAACAUUUGUUAAAUAAAAUCAGGCAAGACUAAUCAUCAGUUCCAUCCAUCCAUCGUCAACCGUUUAUCCUGUAUACAGGGUCGCGGGACUAAUCAUCAGUUCCCUAUGUUAAUUUGAAACAUAGUAGUGAUCUAAACCCUUCACAAAAUAUGAUAGUUAAUAGUUGUAAAUGAAAAUAAUGAGAUGGUAUUUAUAGGUUAACAUGUUGAAUCUCUUUUUGCAGAAAGUAAAAACUGGAAAGCAAGAGACCAGUGUGAAAUCCACUUAGAAGUUAUACUCAAAGAAAUAGCUGCACAAUGAAUAGUUUUGAAGCUCCCUAGGAGGUGUCAUUUAUUGCGACCUCUGAGAAGUCUUGUAGAUAUUGCACAGGUAUUGUGAGGCUUUACUUGUUUAGUGAGGCAAAAGGAAAAAAAACUAAAUCAGCUGAUAGAAAGCACCUAUUAAUCAGAGGUGCAUAUCAGCAGAUUGUUUGUCUUUGUCUCACUGUAAAAGCUUCACGAUACCUGUGUAUAUGCCUGAGAAGGCCUCAGUUUGAAACAUUGUAAUAAAUGAUACUGCCUUGUGGGAUUCAUAAUUACUUAGUGUGCAGGUCAUUCUUAUUUUUUUCACUCUAAGCCCUUUUAUUCAGCACUAUGUGAGCAUAGUUUGUUGGAUGUGCACGUUUUUUGUGUUUGAACUAGACAGUACACUUACAGUAUAUCACAAUGAGAAAUCUAACAUUUCCAGUCAGUAUUAAAGACAAAAGGAGUGCAAAUAUAAAUGAAAUUUAUUGCAAUGUAAACCAUAUUUUUUUAAAUGUUUGCAAAUGUGGACAUGUAGUAAACACAUUUAUUCAGAUAAAUAGACUGGGCCUGUACACUGUACAAGUGGUAACGGCUACUGUAUGUCCGGCAUAGAUACAGAGUGUUGUUUUUUUUUAACAACUAUUGUGAACAUAAACAACAUUAACCAUGACUGUCAGCUAUGUUUAGGUGCAGGAAAAUGGGUCCUAAAAGCCAAAUUCAAAAGCAGUAACACUACCAACUGAAAGCAGUUCACUGCAUUUGGAGGUGGUCUUUGAUGCAAUUAGCUACUGUACUUGAAAACAUAAUCUGCCCUAGUUGUGAAAUAAAAUCCAUUUUUCAAAUA